rnacentral:rRNA from 1 species
GACGAACGCUGGCGGCGUGCCUAAUACAUGCAAGUAGAACGCUGAAGGAGGAGCUUGCUUCUCUGGAUGAGUUGCGAACGGGUGAGUAACGCGUAGGUAACCUGCCUGGUAGCGGGGGAUAACUAUUGGAAACGAUAGCUAAUACCGCAUAAGAGUAGAUGUCGCAUGACAUUUGCUUAAAAGGUGCAAUUGCAUCACUACCAGAUGGACCUGCGGUGUAUUAGCUAGUUGGUGAGGUAACGGCUCACCAAGGCAACGAUACAUAGCCGACCUGAGAGGGUGAUCGGCCACACUGGGACUGAGACACGGCCCAGACUCCUACGGGAGGCAGCAGUAGGGAAUCUUCGGCAAUGGACGGAAGUCUGACCGAGCAACGCCGCGUGAGUGAAGAAGGUUUUCGGAUCGUAAAGCUCUGUUGUAAGAGAAGAACGAGUGUGAGAGUGGAAAGUUCACACUGUGACGGUAUCUUACCAGAAAGGGACGGCUAACUACGUG